rnacentral:rRNA from 1 species
GUGAGGAAUAUUGGUCAAUGGAGGCAACUCUGAACCAGCCAAGUCGCGUGAAGGAUGAAGGUCUUAUGGAUUGUAAACUUCUUUUGCAAGGGAAUAAAGUGGGGGACGUGUCCUCCUUUGCAUGUACCUUGCGAAUAAGGAUCGGCUAACUCCGUGCCAGCAGCCGCGGUAAUACGGAGGAUCCGAGCGUUAUCCGGAUUUAUUGGGUUUAAAGGGUGCGCAGGCGGGAUGUUAAGUCGGCGGUGAAAUUUUGCAGCUCAACUGUAAAAGUGCCUUCGAUACUGGCUUUCUUGAGUGUGGAUGAAGUAGGCGGAAUUUGUGGUGUAGCGGUGAAAUGCUUAGAUAUCACGAGGAACUCCGAUUGCGCAGGCAGCUUACUAAACCACUACUGACGCUCAUGCACGAAGGCGUGGGGAUCAAACAGGAUUAGAUACCCCAGUAGUCC